CCUACGGGUGGCAGCAGUGGGGAAUAUUGCUCAAUGGGCGAAAGCCUGACGCAGCGACGCCGCGUGAGGGAUGAAGGUCUUCGGAUCGUAAACCUCUGUCAGCAGGGAAGAACGGUCACUGUGCUAAUCAGCAGUGAAUUGACGGUACCUGCAAAGGAAGCACCGGCUAACUCCGUGCCAGCAGCCGCAGUAAUACGGAGGGUGGGAGCGUUCAUCGGCAUUACUGGGCGUAAAGCGCUCGUAGGCGGGAUGUCAAGUCAAGGGGGAAAUCCCAGCGCUGAACGUGGGAACUGCAGUUGAAACUGGCAAACUGGAGUGUGUGAGAGGAUAGUGGAAUGCCAGGUGUAGGAGUGAAAUCCGUAGAUAUCUGGAGGAACAUCAGUGGCGAAGGCGACUAUCUGGCACAUAACUGACGCUGAGGAGCGAAAGCGUGGGUAGCAAACAGGAUUAGAUACCCGAGUAGUC
rnacentral:rRNA from 1 species